rnacentral:lncRNA from 1 species
GGCUAUGAGCGGCAAUGGGGGGCUAUGGGGGCUAGGGUCAGUUAUGGGUCUGAUGCGGGUCACUUAUGGGGUGUGUUAUGUGAUUUAUGGGGUCGGGUUUGUGCCCCCAGGUUCCACAAGCUGGUGAUCGACGACGUGAAGCCCGAAGACGAGGGAGAUUACACCUUUAUAAACCGGCGAUGGAUACCGCGCUUGUCAUUGUCUGCUAAGCUCAACUUCCUGGGUAUCUAUAGGUUAUAUAGGGUUAUAUAGGGUUAUAUAUGGGAUAUAUGGGGUUAUAGGGUCAUUAUAUGGGUUAUAUGGGGUUAUAUGGGGUUAUAUGGGGGAGAUUACACCUUUAUACCCGAUGGAUACGCGCUGUCAUUGAGCGCCAAGCUCAACUUCCUGGGUAUCAUAUAGGUUAUAUAGGGUUAUAUAGGGUUAUAUGGGAUAUAUGGGGUUAUAUGGGGUUAUAUAGGGGGUAUAUGGGGUUAUAUGGGGUUAUAUGGGGUUAUAUAGGGGCUAUAGGGGUUCCAUAGGGGCUAUAGGGCCAUUAUAUGGGGUUAUAUGGGGUUAUAUGGGGUUAUAUAGGGGCUAUAGGGUCAUUAUAUGGGGUUAUAUGGGGUUAUAUGGGGUUAUAUGGGGUUAUAUGCGGUUAUAUGGGUUUAUAUGGGUUAUAUGGGUUUAUAUGGGGGGUAUAUGGGGUUAUAUGGGAUAUAGGGGUUAUAUGGGGUACUAUAGGUUAUAUGGCGGUUAUAUGGGGGUAUAUGUGGGUGUAUAUGGGGUCUGUAUGCGGCGUGAUAUAUGGGGUAUAUAUGGGUAGAUGGG